UACGUAGGCAGCGAGCGUUGUUCGGAAUUAUUGGGCGUAAAGAGUGUGUAGGCGGUGCUCCAAGUCUGUCGUGAAAUCUCCCGGCUUAACCGGGAGGGUGCGGCGGAAACUGGAGUGCUAGAGGGUGGGAGAGGAAAGCGGAAUUCCCGGUGUAGCGGUGAAAUUCGUAGAUAUCGGGAGGAACACCAGUGGCGAAGGCGGCGGCCUGGACCGAUACUGACGCUGAGGUGCGAAAGCGUGGGGAGCAAACAGG
rnacentral:rRNA from 1 species